GAUAUGGAGAAAAAGAGGGAAGAACAUCCUCUAAAACAUAACCACAAAUUCAGCAAAUUAAUGGAACAAUUGAUGGUUUAUCUAGUGCAUGAACAUCAAUCUUUGAUCACCUCUACUUGCUAAGCAUAAGGAUGGAAAUCUUAUCAAUUGACUCAAGCAUGGAUGGCUAUCGGGUCAAGAGGAAGCAAGGAGGCAAGCAUGAACAUGGAUGCUAAAGGUAUAUUAUUAUAUCCUAUGAAGAUUUAAUGAUUUGGAUGCGAGAUAGUACUCGGAAAGAUAAUCGAAAGGAUCAGCAUGAAUAGAAGAAUGCGGAAUGGUCAUUUAAUUGCGUAGGUUUGGAUUAUGAAUGAUGUUACCAAAAUAUUAAUGAUGUGCAUGUAUUUAGUAGUUGCAAGUUGCACGGAAUUAACAUCACUAUGGAAACUAAGAGGUUGAAGAUCGAGUCAAAGAGUAAGGAUUGUACGGGAAGAGCGGUUUCACAGCUUAUAUUUAUGAAUUACAUUUAACGCGUUAAUCAAGAAUGAAUGUUGUAAAUCCUUUCUAGAAGUGACUGACAAAUUAUAAAUGGACCUUCAAGUAUGUCAUGUAGACAAUAUAAGAAAGAA